rnacentral:miRNA from 1 species
UAAGCUCGCUUCUACAGGAUU